rnacentral:piRNA from 1 species
UGCGAAAAUAUAGUGUGGCAA